rnacentral:rRNA from 1 species
UACAGAGGUGGCAAGCGUUGUUCGGAAUUACUGGGCGUAAAGGGCGCGUAGGCGGUUCGGUAAGUCCUGUGUGAAAUCCCUCGGCUCAACUGAGGAACUGCACGGGAGACUGCCGGGCUUGAGUUCGGGAGAGGGAAGCGGAAUUCCGGGUGUAGCGGUGAAAUGCGUAGAUAUCCGGAGGAACACCGGUGGCGAAGGCGGCUUCCUGGACCGACAUUGACGCUGAGGAGCGAAAGCUAGGGGAGCAAACGGG